UACGUAGGGUGCGAGCGUUAAUCGGAAUUACUGGGCGUAAAGCGUGCGCAGGCGGCUUCGCAAGUCAGACGUGAGAUCCCCGGGCUUAACCUGGGAAUGGCGUUUGAAACUACGGAGCUGGAGUGUGGCAGAGGGAGGUAGAAUUCCACGUGUAGCGGUGAAAUGCGUAGAUAUGUGGAGGAAUACCGAUGGCGAAGGCAGCCUCCUGGGCCAACACUGACGCUCAUGCACGAAAGCGUGGGGAGCAAACAGG
rnacentral:rRNA from 1 species